rnacentral:rRNA from 1 species
AACGAACGCUGGCGGCGUGCCUAACACAUGCAAGUCGAGCGCGAACGGAGCAAUCCUAGUAGAGCGGCGCACGGGUGCGUAACACGUGGGUAAUCUGCCUUGAAGUCUGGGACAACCUGCCGAAAGGCUGGCUAAUACCGGAUAAGCCCACGGGAUCCUCGGAUCCUGUGGGAAAGAUGGCCUCUAUUUAUAAGCUAUCACUUCUAGAUGAGCCCGCGGCCCAUCAGCUAGUUGGCGGGGUAAUGGCCCACCAAGGCGACGACGGGUAGCUGGUCUGAGAGGACGAUCAGCCACACUGGAACUGAGACACGGUCCAGACUCCUACGGGAGGCAGCAGUGGGGAAUUUGCGCAAUGGGCGAAGCCUGACGCAGCAACGCCGCGUGUGUGAUGAAGGUC